rnacentral:rRNA from 1 species
UACGUAGGUCCCGAGCGUUGUCCGGAUUUAUUGGGCGUAAAGCGAGCGCAGGUGGUUUAUUAAAUCUGGUGUAAAAGGCAGUGGCUCAACCAUUGUAUGCAUUGGAAACUGGUAGACUUGAGUGCAGGAGAGGAGAGUGGAAUUCCAUGUGUAGCGGUGAAAUGCGUAGAUAUAUGGAGGAGCACCGGUGGCGAAAGCGGCUCUCUGGCCUGUAACUGACACUGAGGCUCGAAAGCGUGGGGAGCAAACAGG